AGUCACUGACAUUAGAUACCCGGUAGUCCAGGGUGUAAACGCUGCAGACUUGGUGUUGGGAACCCUUCGGGGGUGCUCAGUGCCGGAGAGAAGUUGUUAAGUCUGCUACUUGGGAGUACGUCCGCAAGGAUGAAACUUAAAGGAAUUGGCGGGGGAGCACCGCAACGGGAGGAGCGUGCGGUUUAAUUGGAUUCAACGCCGAAAAACUCACCAGCAGCGACUGUUACAUGAAAGUCAGGUUGAUGACCUUACUAGAUUUUCAG
rnacentral:rRNA from 1 species